GGGGGAUUGGGGUAGCCUGGCAUCCUGCGGCGCUGGGGGCGCCGUGACCUGAGUUCAAAUCUCAGAUCCCCCA
rnacentral:tRNA from 1 species